rnacentral:rRNA from 1 species
UGCUUUAUAGCUGAUUUAAUUUUUUAAUUUUAGGUUUAUGUGCCUUUUGCAUCAUGCUUAGGCGAUUGUUUGAAAUAUUUCUUGUACCGAAAUCCUCGGAUUCUUGCGGUUGCUGAUAAUGACGGAUAGGCACCGGGUAGGUGUUGCAAGAUAACCGUAACGUUGUGAUAAGUUAGUCGGCGAGGAUUAUAGCUGUUUUAUGGUUUGGUUUUAUAUUAAGUUAGUCGGCGAUGAUGUCGGUUAACCGUGUAUACUGUGGUUAACGUUAAAUAAAGAUAGGGUUAAAAGUACCCCAUUUUUGGAAUAGUGUUAUAACUUUCAUUCGUUGGUUUGUAUAGUUACUUUAAGCUACCAUACAAUAUUAAUUUAUCGAAAUUGUUAAUGCUUAAAUAAGUAAUAUGAAUAUUAGUAUUGUUUCUCAGGACUUGCCCGUCUGUUUAUUAAAAACAUUUCCAUAUGUUAAGUUAUAUGGUAGUACCUGCUCUAUGUUUAUAUAAAUGGCCGCAGUAUCUUGACUGUGCGAAGGUAGCAUAAUUAAUUGCCUUAUAAUUGAGGGCUUGUUUGAAUGGUUUGACGAGGUAAUUAUGAACAUUACUAUUAUAAUUGAAAUUAUUUCGGAGGGCACAGAAACCUCCGUGCUUAAUUAGACGGAAAGACCCCGGGAUCUUUCUUUUUUGCCUGGGGCAGGUUCGGAUGUUUCAUCCCUAUUAUGACCCUGUAGAGUUUAAUGAGUUAAGUUACCCCGGGGAUAACAGUAUAAUAGCUUAAUAGAGAUCUUAUCGAUUAAGUUGCUUGUUACCUCGAUGUUGACUUAGGGUUUGGCUUAGGCGCAGUAGUUUAAGUUUAAGGUCUGUUCGACCAAGUAACCCUCCAUGAGUUGAGUUAAGACCGGCGUGAGCCAGGUCGGUUCUUAUCUAUUGUUCUGAGUUACUAGUACGAAAGGACCGUAAUUCAUUUUAUU